GAUAAUCUGUUGCUUCAUUAUACUUCUCAUUGUGACUGUCGUCGGGCCACAACACACCGCGAAUUGUUAUUUUUUUUUAUAAUCUAUACACAAAGUAAAACAUAAUUUUGCUGAGUUUUUAUAAUCGUUGCCUUUUUUUUUUCAUUUACAAAUUUGAGCGUUAUUCUAAUAGUCACGUUUUGUUUAUUUUGUUUAUACGAGUUUAUAAAAGGUUUAUAAUAUCCAUUAUUGAAUCGUUGGUAUUAUAUAUUCAUCGCGAUACAGGUAUCACAUGACUCUUAUUAUCAAUAUUUUAUUUCG